GAUGAACGCUAGCGGCAGGCCUAAUACAUGCAAGUCGAACGGUGUCUUCGGACAUAGUGGCGCACGGGUGCGUAACACGUAUGCAACCUACCUUACAUUGGGGGAUAGCCUUUCGAAAGGGAGGUUAAUACCGCAUAAGACAGUAGCUGGGCAUCCAGCAGCUGUUAAAGAUUUAUCGAUGUAAGCUGGGCAUGCGUCCAAUUAGCUAGUUGGUGAGGUAACGGCUCACCAAGGCAACGAUUGGUAGGGGAACUGAGAGGUCAAUCCCCCACACUGGCACUGAGAUACGGGCCAGACUCCUACGGGAGGCAGCAGUAGGGAAUAUUGGGCAAUGGACGCAAGUCUGACCCAGCCAUGCCGCGUGCAGGAUGAAGGCGUUAUGCGUUGUAAACUGCUUUUAUACAGGAAGAAACGACUCUUGCGAGAGGCAUUGACGGUACUGUAUGAAUAAGCACCGGCUAACUCCGUGCCAGCCGCCGCGGUAAGAC
rnacentral:rRNA from 1 species